GGGUAACAUGCCCUAAGGUGGGGGAUAAUCUCGGGAAACUGAGGAUAAUACCCCAUAGGUCUGAUAUGCUGGAAUGCUUUCAGGCCGAAAACUCCGGUGCCUUAGGAUUGGCCUGCGGUCUAUCAGGCUGUAGUGGGUGUAAUGGACCCACUAGCCCGUGACGGAUAUGGGCCUUGAGAGAGGGAGCCCAGAGAUGGACUCUGAGACAUGAGUCCAGGCCCUACGGGGCGCAGCAGUCGCGAAAACUUCGCAAUGGGGGCAACCCCGACGAGGGAAUUCCAAGUGCCAGCACUUUGUGUUGGCUGUUCUCCUGUCUAAAAAACAGGAGGAGUAAGGGGCGGGUAAGACGGGUGCCAGCCGCCGCGGUAAUACCCGCGCCCCUAGUGGUGGUCGAUAUUAUUGAGCCUAAAACGUCCGUAGCCGGUCUUCUAAAUCCUUGGGUAAAUCGGGCAGCUUAACUGUCCGAAGUCCGGGGAGACUGGGAGACUUGGGACCGGGAGAGGUCAGAGGUACUUCUGGGGUAGGGGUAAAAUCCUGUAAUCCUGGAAGGACCACCGGUGGCGAAGGCGUCUGACUAGAACGGAUCCGACGGUGAGGGACGAAGCCCUGGGGCGCAAACGGGAUUAGAUACCCCGGUAGUCCAGGGUGUAAACGCUGCGGGCUUGGUGUUGGGGGUCCUUAGUGGGCGCCCAGUGCCGGANAGAAGUUGUUAAGCCUGCUGCUUGGGGAGUAUGUCCGCAAGGAUGAAACUUAAA
rnacentral:rRNA from 1 species